rnacentral:rRNA from 1 species
UACAGAGGGUGCGAGCGUUGUUCGGAAUUACUGGGCGUAAAGCGCGCGCAGGCGGCUUCUUAAGUCUGAUGUGAAAUCUCGGGGCUCAACCCCGAGCGGCCAUUGGAAACUGGGAAGCUUGAGUGCAGAAGAGGAGAGUGGAAUUCCACGUGUAGCGGUGAAAUGCGUAGAUAUGUGGAGGAACACCAGUGGCGAAGGCGACUCUCUGGUCUGUAACUGACGCUGAGGCGCGAAAGCGUGGGGAGCAAACAGG